rnacentral:rRNA from 1 species
AUGGCGGCGACGGUGCGGUUCGGGCUCCUGGUGGCGAUGUUCCAGGCCAUGACGCGGGACCGCACGUCCGCGAAGAAGCGGGGCCGCCUCCGCACGUUCCUCGACCGCGCCUACGGGGCCAGCGGCAGGGACGACUACUUCAGCGCGCUCCGCCUCAUCCUCCCGUCCCUCGACCGCGAGCGCGGCUCCUACGGCCUCAAGGAGGCCGCCCUCGCCGCCGCCCUCGUCGAAGCGCUCGGCAUCGCCAAGGACUCCCCCGACGCCGUCCGGCUCACCAACUGGCGCCGCGGCGGCGGCGGCCGCAACGCGGGCAACUUCUCCCUCGUAGCCGCCGAGGUACAGUCGGGACCAUUUUUUCCCCACCAUUCAGCAUUGUCAUUCUCGGUAAUCACUACGUCGUUUCGCUGUCGAUGGAUUGCUGUGUGGGGUUCGAUGGAUUGUGCCAACUGA